UAAAAGGGUGCUUGCUCUACGUUUAUAUGGCACAUCCGGUCGCAUUUCCUUCUAGGAGUACGGCCAGGUGAGGUAUGGUUAUCAAGACAUACCUAGCACAUAAUUUUUCGCCCGAAGACAGUUGACUGCUGCUGCCUGCAUGCGUCGACGUCUUC
rfam:Aedes albopictus isolate Foshan contig109817, whole genome shotgun sequence.